AACGCAUUUUUCACAGCCAUUCCUACGACAGUUACAGCAUUUCCUGGAGGUUGGACCUUUGAGUUCGACCCAUGACGAGCGCGAUAUUUGUUGUCCUGGGCUUCCUUCUUAGGAGGGAAGACUAGUGUUUGAGGAUGGACUGGAGAUUGAAUCAGCCAAUCUUGGGUGCAGCACCCCAUCUGUGUUAGCUUUGUCUGAUGCUAAGGGACCUCCUUCGUGAGCCCGAAUGAGGGGUGGUGCAAGGAUUGACGGAACAUUC
rnacentral:snoRNA from 1 species